rnacentral:rRNA from 1 species
GGGUUGUGAGGUUAAGCGACUAAGCGUACACGGUGGAUGCCCCGGCAGUCAGAGGCGAUGAAGGGCGUACUAAUCUGCGAUAAGCGCCGGUAAGGUGAUAUGAACCGUUAUAACCGGCGAUACCCGAAUGGGGAAACCCAGUGUGAUUCGUCACACUAUCAUUAACUGAAUCCAUAGGUUAAUGAGGCGAACCGGGGGAACUGAAACAUCUAAGUACCCCGAGGAAAAGAAAUCAACCGAGAUUCCCCCAGUAGCGGCGAGCGAACGGGGAGGAGCCCAGAGCCUGAAUCAGCAUGUGUGUUAGUGGAAGCGUCUGGAAAGGCGCGCGAUACAGGGUGACAGCCCCGUACACAAAAGCGCAUGUGCUGUGAGCUCGAUGAGUAGGGCGGGACACGUGGUAUCCUGUCUGAAUAUGGGGGGACCAUCCUCCAAGGCUAAAUACUCCUGACUGACCGAUAGUGAACCAGUACCGUGAGGGAAAGGCGAAAAGAACCCCGGCGAGGGGAGUGAAAAAGAACCUGAAACCGUGUACGUACAAGCAGUGGGAGCACAGGUUUACCUGUGUGACUGCGUACCUUUUGUAUAAUGGGUCAGCGACUUAUAUUCUGUAGCAAGGUUAACCGAAUAGGGGAGCCGGAGGGAAACCGAGUCUUAAUUGGGCGUUAAGUUGCAGGGUAUAGACCCGAAACCCGGUGAUCUAGCCAUGGGCAGGUUGAAGGUUGGGUAACACUAACUGGAGGACCGAACCGACUAAUGUUGAAAAAUUAGCGGAUGACCUGUGGCUGGGGUGAAAGGCCAAUCAAACCGGGAGAUAGCUGGUUCUCCCCGAAAGCUAUUUAGGUAGCGCCUCGUGAAUUCAUCUCCGGGGGUAGAGCACUGUUUCGGCUAGGGGGCCAUCCCGGCUUACCAACCCGAUGCAAACUGCGAAUACCGGAGAAUGUUAUCACGGGAGACACACGGCGGGUGCUAACGUCCGUCGUGAAGAGGGAAACAACCCAGACCGCCAGCUAAGGUCCCAAAGUCAUGGUUAAGUGGGAAACGAUGUGGGAAGGCCCAGACAGCCGGAUGUUGGCUUAGAAGCAGCCAUCAUUUAAAGAAAGCGUAAUAGCUCACUGGUCGAGUCGGCCUGCGCGGAAGAUGUAACGGGGCUAAACCAUGCACCGAAGCUGCGGCAGCGACACUGUGUGUUGUUGGGUAGGGGGGAGCGUUCUGUAAGCCUGCGAAGGUGGCCUGUGAGGGUUGCUGGAGGUAUCAGAAGUGCGAAUGCUGACAUAAGUAACGAUAAAGCGGGUGAAAAGCCCGCUCGCCGGAAGACCAAGGGUUCCUGUCCAACGUUAAUCGGGGCAGGGUGAGUCGACCCCUAAGGCGAGGCCGAAAGGCGUAGUCGAUGGGAAACGGGUUAAUAUUCCCGUACUUGGUGUUACUGCGAAGGGGGGACGGAGAAGGCUAUGUUGGCCGGGCGACGGUUGUCCCGGUUUAAGCGUGUAGGUGUGUGUUCGGGUAAAUCCGGUUCACUUUAACACUGAGGCGUGACGACGAGGCACUACGGUGCUGAAGCAACAAAUGCCCUGCUUCCAGGAAAAGCCUCUAAGCAUCAGGUAACAUCAAAUCGUACCCCAAACCGACACAGGUGGUCAGGUAGAGAAUACCAAGGCGCUUGAGAGAACUCGGGUGAAGGAACUAGGCAAAAUGGUGCCGUAACUUCGGGAGAAGGCACGCUGACACGUAGGUGAAGUGAUUUACUCAUGGAGCUGAAGUCAGUCGAAGAUACCAGCUGGCUGCAACUGUUUAUUAAAAACACAGCACUGUGCAAACACGAAAGUGGACGUAUACGGUGUGACGCCUGCCCGGUGCCGGAAGGUUAAUUGAUGGGGUCAGCGCAAGCGAAGCUCCUGAUCGAAGCCCCGGUAAACGGCGGCCGUAACUAUAACGGUCCUAAGGUAGCGAAAUUCCUUGUCGGGUAAGUUCCGACCUGCACGAAUGGCGUAAUGAUGGCGGGCUGUCUCCACCCGAGACUCAGUGAAAUUGAACUCGCUGUGAAGAUGCAGUGUACCCGCGGCAAGACGGAAAGACCCCGUGAACCUUUACUAUAGCUUGACACUGAACAUUGAGCCUUGAUGUGUAGGAUAGGUGGGAGGCUUUGAAGUGUGGACGCCAGUCUGCAUGGAGCCGACCUUGAAAUACCACCCUUUAAUGUUUGAUGUUCUAACGUGGACCCGUUACCCGGGUUGCGGACAGUGUCUGGUGGGUAGUUUGACUGGGGCGGUCUCCUCCUAAAGAGUAACGGAGGAGCACGAAGGUUGGCUAAUCCUGGUCGGACAUCAGGAGGUUAGUGCAAUGGCAUAAGCCAGCUUGACUGCGAGCGUGACGGCGCGAGCAGGUGCGAAAGCAGGUCAUAGUGAUCCGGUGGUUCUGAAUGGAAGGGCCAUCGCUCAACGGAUAAAAGGUACUCCGGGGAUAACAGGCUGAUACCGCCCAAGAGUUCAUAUCGACGGCGGUGUUUGGCACCUCGAUGUCGGCUCAUCACAUCCUGGGGCUGAAGUAGGUCCCAAGGGUAUGGCUGUUCGCCAUUUAAAGUGGUACGCGAGCUGGGUUUAGAACGUCGUGAGACAGUUCGGUCCCUAUCUGCCGUGGGCGCUGGAGAACUGAGGGGGGCUGCUCCUAGUACGAGAGGACCGGAGUGGACGCAUCACUGGUGUUCGGGUUGUCAUGCCAAUGGCACUGCCCGGUAGCUAAAUGCGGAAGAGAUAAGUGCUGAAAGCAUCUAAGCACGAAACUUGCCCCGAGAUGAGUUCUCCCUGAGACUUAAAGUCUCCUGAAGGAACGUUGAAGACGACGACGUUGAUAGGCCGGGUGUGUAAGCGCAGCGAUGCGUUGAGCUAACCGGUACUAAUGAACCGUGAGGCUUAACCUUACAACGCCGAAG